rnacentral:rRNA from 1 species
CGCAUGGGCGCAGCCUGAUCCAGCAACGCCGCGUGCGUGAUGAAGGCCUUCGGGUUGUAAACCGCUUUUCUCGGGGACGAUAAUGACCGGUCCCCUCGGAAAAACCCCCGGCUAAUUCGUGCCCAGCGCCCCGG